rnacentral:lncRNA from 1 species
GUGAUAUUUGUUAAAAAAAAAUGUAUUAUAACAAAUUAUUUAUAAUUUCUGUAAAUCAAUUAACCUUUCUAUUUGGAAAAUUCCGUAACACAAUCUUGUCAUUGUUUAUUCCAUGUAUAUUAUAAAUAGUUAUCAAAGGUACCAGGAUUAUCCAUGUAUAUUAUAAAGUUAUGCCUUAUUUUUCAGAUCAUAUGUACCAGCAUCUGUAUGACGAGACAAAACUGUGUUUCUGAUAUCUAAUAAAAUGUGCAACC